UUUUUAUCAGGCAUCUUAUU
rnacentral:tRNA from 1 species